CCUACGGGAGGCAGCAGUGAGGAAUAUUGGACAAUGGGCGCAAGCCUGAUCCAGCCAUGCCGCGUGCAGGAAGACGGUCCUAUGGAUUGUAAACUGCUUUUAUACAGGAAGAAACACCUCUACGUGUAGAGACUUGACGGUACUGUAUGAAUAAGCAUCGGCUAACUCCGUGCCAGCAGCCGCGGUAAUACGGAGGAUGCAAGCGUUAUCCGGAAUCAUUGGGUUUAAAGGGUCCGUAGGCGGUUUAAUAAGUCAGUGGUGAAAGCCCAUCGCUCAACGAUGGAACGGCCAUUGAUACUGUUAAACUUGAAUUAUCAGGAAGUAACUAGAAUAUGUAGUGUAGCGGUGAAAUGCUUAGAGAUUACAUGGAAUACCAAUUGCGAAGGCAGGUUACUACUAAUAUAUUGACGCUGAUGGACGAAAGCGUGGGGAGCGAACAGGAUUAGAUACCCUGGUAGUCCACGCCGUAAACGAUGGAUACUAGCUGUUCGGAGCAAUCUGAGUGGCUAAGCGAAAGUGAUAAGUAUCCCACCUGGGGAGUACGUUCGCAAGAAUGAAACUUAAAGGAAUUGACGG
rnacentral:rRNA from 1 species